UGGGGAGUCUUGCACAAUGGGGGCAACCCUGAUGCAGCGACGCCGCGUGAGCGAUGAAGCCCUUCGGGGCGUAAAGCUCUUUCGACCGGAACGAUAAUGACGGUACCGGGAGAAGAAGCUGCGGCUAACUACGUGCCAGCAGCCGCGGUAAUACGUAGGCAGCAAGCGUUGUUCGGAGUUACUGGGCGUAAAGAGUGCGUAGGCGGUUUUCUAAGUUCGGUGUGAAAUCUCCCGGCUUAACUGGGAGGGUGCGCCGAAGACUGGGAAGCUGGAGUGUGGGAAAGGCAGGCGGAAUUCCUGGUGUCGCGGUGAAAUGCGUAGAUAUCAGGAGGAACACCGGCGGUGUAGACGGCUUGCUAGACCAUAACUGACGCUGAGGCACGAAAGCGUGGGUAGCAAACA
rnacentral:rRNA from 1 species